AUUGAACGCUGGCGGCAGGCCUAACACAUGCAAGUCGAGCGGAUGACGGGAGCUUGCUCCUUGAUUCAGCGGCGGACGGGUGAGUAAUGCCUAGGAAUCUGCCUGGUAGUGGGGGACAACGUUUCGAAAGGAACGCUAAUACCGCAUACGUCCUACGAGAGAAAGCAGGGGACCCUCGGGCCUUGCGCUAUCGGAUGAGCCUAGGUCGGAUUAGCUAGUAGGUGAGGUAAUGGCUCACCUAGGCGACGAUCCGUAACUGGUCUGAGAGGAUGAUCAGUCACACUGGAACUGAGACACGGUCCAGACUCCUACGGGAGGCAGCAGUGGGGAAUAUUGGACAAUGGGCGAAAGCCUGAUCCAGCCAUGCCGCGUGUGUGAAGAAGGUCUUCGGAUUGUAAAGCACUUUAAGUUGGGAGGAAGGGCAGUAAGCUAAUACCUUGCUGUUUUGACGUUACCGACAGAAUAAGCACCGGCUAACUCUGUGCCAGCCGCCGCCGUAAUAC
rnacentral:rRNA from 1 species